AGCAGCCGCGGUAAUUCCAGCUCCAAUAGCGUAUAUUAAAGUUGUUGCAGUUAAAAAGCUCGUAGUUGAAUUUCGGGGUCAGUAGGUUGGUCAUGCCACUGGUAUGUACUGGUCUCACUGAUUCCUCCUUCCUGAUGAACUGUAAUGCCAUUAAUUUGGUGUUGCAGGGAAUCUGGACUGUUACUUUGAAAAAUUAGAGUGUUUAAAGCAGGCUAACGCCUGAAUACAUUAGCAUGGAAUAAUGAAAUAGGACGUUCGAUCCUAUUUUGUUGGUUUCUAGGAUUGACGUAAUGAUUAAUAGGGAUAGUUGGGGGCAUUAGUAUUCAGUUGUCAGAGGUGAAAUUCUUGGAUUUAUUGAAGACUAACUACUGCGAAAGCAUUUGCCAAGGAUGUUUUCAUUAAUCAAGAACGAAAGUUAGGGGAUCGAAGACGAUCAGAUACCGUCGUAGUCUUAACCAUAAACUAUGCCGACUAGGGAUCGGAUGAUGUUAAUUUUUAAUGUACUCU
rnacentral:rRNA from 1 species